rnacentral:rRNA from 1 species
UACAGAGGUCUCAAGCGUUGUUCGGAUUCAUUGGGCGUAAAGGGUGCGUAGGCGGCCAACUAAGUCAGACGUGAAAUCCCUCGGCUUAACCGGGGAACUGCGUCUGAUACUGGAUGGCUUGAGUUUGGGAGAGGGAUGCGGAAUUCCAGGUGUAGCGGAUGAAAUGCGUAGAUAUCUGGAGGAACACCGGUGGCGAAGGCGGCAUCCUGGACCAACAC